GGAUUAACGCUGGCGGCGUGCCUAAUACAUGCAAGUCGAGCGAACGGACGAGAAGCUUGCUUCUCUGAUGUUAGCGGCGGACGGGUGAGUAACACGUGGAUAACCUACCUAUAAGACUGGGAUAACUUCGGGAAACCGGAGCUAAUACCGGAUAAUAUUUUGAACCGCAUGGUUCAAAAGUGAAAGACGGUCUUGCUGUCACUUAUAGAUGGAUCCGCGCUGCAUUAGCUAGUUGGUAAGGUAACGGCUUACCAAGGCAACGAUGCAUAGCCGACCUGAGAGGGUGAUCGGCCACACUGGAACUGAGACACGGUCCAGACUCCUACGGGAGGCAGCAGUAGGGAAUCUUCCGCAAUGGGCGAAAGCCUGACGGAGCAACGCCGCGUGAGUGAUGAAGGUCUUCGGAUCGUAAAACUCUGUUAUUAGGGAAGAACAUAUGUGUAAGUAACUGUGCACAUCUUGACGGUACCUAAUCAGAAAGCCACGGCUAACUACGUGCCAGCAGCCGCGGUAAUACGUAGGUGGCAAGCGUUAUCCGGAAUUAUUGGGCGUAAAGCGCGCGUAGGCGGUUUUUUAAGUCUGAUGUGAAAGCCCACGGCUCAACCGUGGAGGGUCAUUGGAAACUGGAAAACUUGAGUGCAGAAGAGGAAAGUGGAAUUCCAUGUGUAGCGGUGAAAUGCGCAGAGAUAUGGAGGAACACCAGUGGCGAAGGCGACUUUCUGGUCUGUAACUGACGCUGAUGUGCGAAAGCGUGGGGAUCAAACAGGAUUAGAUACCCUGGUAGUCCACGCCGUAAACGAUGAGUGCUAAGUGUUAGGGGGUUUCCGCCCCUUAGUGCUGCAGCUAACGCAUUAAGCACUCCGCCUGGGGAGUACGACCGCAAGGUUGAAACUCAAAGGAAUUGACGGGGACCCGCACAAGCGGUGGAGCAUGUGGUUUAAUUCGAAGCAACGCGAAGAACCUUACCAAAUCUUGACAUCCUUUGACAACUCUAGAGAUAGAGCCUUCCCCUUCGGGGGACAAAGUGACAGGUGGUGCAUGGUUGUCGUCAGCUCGUGUCGUGAGAUGUUGGGUUAAGUCCCGCAACGAGCGCAACCCUUAAGCUUAGUUGCCAUCAUUAAGUUGGGCACUCUAAGUUGACUGCCGGUGACAAACCGGAGGAAGGUGGGGAUGACGUCAAAUCAUCAUGCCCCUUAUGAUUUGGGCUACACACGUGCUACAAUGGACAAUACAAAGGGCAGCGAAACCGCGAGGUCAAGCAAAUCCCAUAAAGUUGUUCUCAGUUCGGAUUGUAGUCUGCAACUCGACUACAUGAAGCUGGAAUCGCUAGUAAUCGUAGAUCAGCAUGCUACGGUGAAUACGUUCCCGGGUCUUGUACACACCGCCCGUCACACCACGAGAGUUUGUAACACCCGAAGCCGGUGGAGUAACCUUUUAGGAGCUAGCCGUCGAAGGUGGGACAAAUGAUUGGGGUGAAGUCGUAACAAGGUAGCCGUAUCGGAAGGUGCGGCUGGAUCACCUCCUUUCU
rnacentral:rRNA from 1 species